ACUCGGCUUCCCUCUGCGGCCUCAUUGAGCGUCUCUAACCGUACUCGCUUCGUGAUCGUCCCUGGAUUGCGGACCCUCUGACACCCGAGGCCUCCGGGAUCCCGCGGCUCUGCCCUCGCCCGCAGACUUAGCCCCGGUGUCCACCGUGUAAUUCUGAAUGGAGUUGCCCUGUCCAAAUCCAGUGGCCCCUUGCCACGUGGAACACUUGCAAUGGAGCUAUCGAGCACUUGAAAUGCAGCUAAUCCAAGAUGAAAUGUGCUCUCGGUGUCAAAUCUGCACUGGAUAUUGAAGACUAAAUCCAGAGGAUGUAAAACGUCUCAAAUUUUAUAUUGAUGACAUAUUGAAAUGAUAAUACUUUGAAUAAGUAAGUGUGUUAGUCGCUCAGUCGUGCCCGACUUUUUGCAAACCCAUGGACUGCAGCCCACCAGGCUCCUCUGUCCAUGAGAUUUUCCAGGCAAGGAUACUGGAGUGGGUCACCAUUUCCUUCUCCAGGGGAUCUUCCCAACCCAAGGAUUGAAUCCAGGUCUCCUGCACUGCAGGCAGAUUCUUUACCAACUGAGCUUCAAGGGAAGCCAAUACUUUGAACAUAUUGGAUUAAAUACAAUAUAUUCUUAAAACUUAA